GCCCCUAUAGUUCAGCCCGGAUAGAAUGGCUCCUUGCGGAGGAGCUGACCGAGGUUCAAAUCCUCGUAGGGGCG
rnacentral:tRNA from 1 species